rnacentral:rRNA from 1 species
AUGGUGGAAUGUUGUUAUAAAAGGUCGCCUCCUGCUUGUGACCGCGCCAUGCCGCCUCACCCCGGCGCCUUCCAGCCGAGAAUGCCAUCUCCACCCGACCAGGUUCACCUCUCUCUCUCGCUCUCUCUCUCUCUCUCUCUCUCGCUCUCUCGCUCUCUCUCGCUCGCUCUCUCUCUCUCGCUCGCUCUCUCUCUNNNNNNNNNUCUCUCUCUCUCGCUCUCUCUCUCGCUCUCUCUCGCUCGCUCUCUCUCUCUCUCUCUCUCUCUCUCUCUCUCUCUCAUGAACACAUCAUUUUAUUCAAACUGGAUGCUAGAGGUAUGUGAUGAUGCAGCAAAUUAUGUGUGUGUGCUUGCGGGUAACUCAGCCGCUUGGCCUUUUCAUGAUUUAAAACAAAAUGGUGUGCUGAAGAGAGACACCUUACUUUGGAUAGAGAGUAAAAUGGAAUCUGCUUGGACUAUGUUUUCCCAUACAGGUUUGAUUCGUAUAUACAUCUCAAGUUGGCUAUAUCUGGAUGGGUUGCAGUUUGCUUCUUUCAAAAAGACGAGGUGUUCUGGAAUGAUUUGCUUAUCUGCUUUAUGCAUGAUCAUCCAUUUUAUAGAUUAUAUAGGAUGUUGGUAUCUUUCUGUACACUGGCAUGAUCUCUAA